AUUGAACGCUGGCGGCGUGCUUAACACAUGCAAGUCGUGCGGUAACAGGCGUAGCAAUACGUGCUGACGAGCGGCGAACGGGUGCGUAAUACAUGGGAAUCUGCCUUUUAGUGGGGAAUAACCCGGCGAAAGCCGGGCUAAUGCCGCAUAAGAUCUUCGGAUGAAAGCGGGGGAUCGUAAGACCUCGCGCUGAUAGAUGAGCCCAUGCCGGAUUAGCAGUUGGUGAGGUAACGGCUCACCAAGGCGACGAUCCGUAGCUGGUCUGAGAGGACGGCCAGCCACACUGGGACUGAGACACGGCCCAGACUCCUACGGGAGGCAGCAGUGGGGAAUAUUGGACAAUGGGGGAAACCCUGAUCCAGCGACGCCGCGUGUGUGAAGAAGGCC
rnacentral:rRNA from 1 species